rnacentral:pre_miRNA from 1 species
GUUAACAUGUGAAUGAAUGGUGUUCAGUACCACGGGCAGGCCUUUUUAUUUGUGUGUGGAUGGUGUUCAGCACCAGGAACAGGUCUGUUUAUUC